GAUGAAGAACUCAGCGAAAUGCGAUAAGUAGUGUGAAUUGCAGAAUUCAGUGAAUCAUCGAAUCUUUGAACGCACAUUGCGCCCCUUGGUAUUCCAUGGGGCAUGCCUGUUCGAGCGUCAUUUGUACCUUCAAGCUUUGCUUGGUGUUGGGUGUUUGUCUCGCCUUUGCGUGUAGACUCGCCUUAAAAUAAUUGGCAGCCGGCGUAUUGAUUUCGGAGCGCAGUACAUCUCGCGCUUUGCACUCAUAACGACAGCGUCCAAAAGUACAUUUUACACUCUUGACCUCGGAUCAGGUAGGGAUACCCGCUGAACUUAAGCAUAUCAAUAAGCGGAGGA
rnacentral:misc_RNA from 1 species